AGUGAACGCUGGCGGUAGGCCUAACACAUGCAAGUCGAACGGCAGCACAGUAAGAGCUUGCUCUUACGGGUGGCGAGUGGCGGACGGGUGAGGAAUACAUCGGAAUCUACUUUUUCGUGGGGGAUAACGUAGGGAAACUUACGCUAAUACCGCAUACGACCUACGGGUGAAAGCAGGGGAUCUUCGGACCUUGCGCGAUUGAAUGAGCCGAUGUCGGAUUAGCUAGUUGGCGGGGUAAAGGCCCACCAAGGCGACGAUCCGUAGCUGGUCUGAGAGGAUGAUCAGCCACACUGGGACUGAGACACGGUCCAGACUCCUACGGGAGGCAGCAGUGGGGAAUAUUGGACAAUGGGCGCAAGCCUGAUCCAGCCAUACCGCGUGGGUGAAGAAGGCCUUCGGGUUGUAAAGCCCUUUUGUUGGGAAAGAAAAGCAGCAGGUUAAUACCCCGCUGUUCUGACGGUACCCAAAGAAUAAGCAACGGCUAACUUCGUG
rnacentral:rRNA from 1 species